UGUCAGCAGCCGCGGUAAUACGUAGGUGGCAAGCGUUUUCCGGAAUUAUUGGGCGUAAAGGGCUCGCAGGCGGUUUCUUAAGUCUGAUGUGAAAGCCCCCGGCUCAACCGGGGAGGGUCAUUGGAAACUGGGGAACUUGAGUGCAGAAGAGGAGAGUGGAAUUCCACGUGUAGCGGUGAAAUGCGUAGAGAUGUGGAGGAACACCAGUGGCGAAGGCGACUCUCUGGUCUGUAACUGACGCUGACGAGCGAAAGCGUGGGGAGCGAACAGGAUUAGAUACCCCGGUAGUCC
rnacentral:rRNA from 1 species